rnacentral:lncRNA from 1 species
GCGCAUACAAAUAGAAAUACAAAUGCUGGGAGGCAAAACGGCGGUGCAUGUAUGAUUAGCGCUGCGAGAUGGACCCAGUUUUAUAGAGGAAACUGUGAGUUUACGCAUUCUUUAAUCGCGUAGUGUAAGCACGAGGGUCAGGAGGCAUGCUUUUACCAUCAGCCACGUCGUUUUUAUGUGAUGUCUGAUUCUUAAUAAUUGAAAAGUAAGAUUGGACGGUCGAACUAAGUUGAUUUGUGCAUAUUGAAUGUACUACGGCGAUCAAAAGGUCGUAAUUCCGUGCUUCUCUCUUCUGAAAGUACGCCAUGAUAAUAGUUUGCAACGUGUUGAUAGAUUACGACUGGUGUGAUGAGAUAUGAGGGAAAUCCAGUCAAAGUGAGCGCAUAAGCUUGCAACAGUCGAAAAACACAACAGCUGGUUUACCAUCAAGGCUUCGGUGGUGUUCAAAGGUGUUGUCGAAAACACUGUGCCUGCUAACGAAACUCACGCGCUUAUGACAGAGAGCAGCAUUAUUUAGGAGUGCAGAACAUUACGCGUAAUCAAUGCCAUGUGUCUUACUCGUCAACAGUAACACGCCCCGAAGAUGGCAGGAGCGAGACAAACAUGACGGUGGCCUAUAGCAUGUAUAUAUUAAGGCACCUUGCUAGUCCUCGCCAUUUCCAAAAAGCAGGCGAUAUUUAUGGUUAUUUGCCUCUCGCUUAUGCGAUAGGAGUGAUCAGACAAAUCAUACCGAGGUAGCAAGCAUGGUAAUGCGUGACUAGGCUACGUUUGGUUGGCGAACGGGUGUUUCCAGUUGAUGCUCAGGGACGCUUUUAUCAGCUGCAUGGAAAUUAGCAGAUGGCAUGCCCUAAAAGUUGAGUAUUGCUUUAUGUAAAUUAUCUUGUUUCCAGCCUGACCAUGCAUGAUUUGGCCCAAACCUAAACUACGGUCAGAUUACCCUGUUUUGUCAUGCUUUGGUCCUUUCUUUUCACUGCCCAGGGGAGACAUGCACGGUAAAAAGCAAUAUUUCAAACGUUAGUGGACUUUAUUUUCUACGAGAUGACGCAGGAGUAAUCAAACCAGGAUGAAACCCGACACAGCAUUUCGGACAGUCUGGCGGUCUUUUUCAAUCCACGUACUCAUUUUACAGGGGUCGUGAUCAACGCAACUUCAGCCAGAGAUGCUCGGGUUCUGAGAUCAGCAGACGAGCCCCCCGUUGACGGCACACUGGAAGGACCCAGCGGACCUCCCCGACUGUUGAUAUCCUCGUACGGCACUCAGCGUCCUGGACAGCCGCAAAACGCACCAAGAGAUUUCCGCUCAGACGGACUAGUAGCUUCACGGAGCAACGUGGCAGCUCAUAGAGGAGGCGAGGAUUGGGAGGUGCGCCUUGAUAUGGACUGGUUCAGCGUCCUUUUGCGCCGCAAGCUCGCGGCACAUGAGCCAUUGCAACAGCACGACUGGCACUGCUUGGUGUCCAACAUUACCGACUACUACAUUUCCCGCUACUCUGGAUCACCACAACCAAGGACGUGGUACACUAAGAUGAGUGAUCUCAUCAUAGAUCAGUACCCGCACAUCUUCGCUGGGAUGUCGGCGUCCUCUGCGGUGGGAUUCAUGAAGGCCAAGCUUCGCCACAAGUUCAAGAACAUCCGCUUCCGUUCGUUUUCCGGGGAACGGGAACGGUCCGAAGCCAGACUGUGGCUGGUGACCCCAGAAUGACCUGUGAGGUUCGGUGCUGGUCUCGAUCCUGCUCAGCAGGAAUGAAGCCGCGUAAGGAGACGACGGUCGGUGGCCAAGAACAAACUGAACAGUGUUAGUUGGCUUGGUGACGGGCCAGCCGGGUUCUUGAGCGGGGAUUUACACCAUCGAUCUCUGGAAUUCUUGGUGAUGUUAUCCAACGUGGUGACUGUUUUUUUAAACGGCCUGAUCGAAGCUCACGACCGUGGUGCAGUGUGUCUCGAGAGUGAUAACCAUGGGCUGUUUGUGGUGCUGUCUCGUCAUGGUCACACCGCAGCUGAACGACAGCUCAAGGACGAUUGCGGACCGAAAAUGCUCGCGAUGUUUGCUCUACAAACGUCGAUUGGUAGAUGAACCACACUGCAUGGUACGCCGAGGGCUACGAAAGUCGCCACAUACGUGGUGCUGAUUUGAAUGACGCUCUUUGCGCUUGUCGUGUUACGUUAACGCGCCGUGGCCACGAAGGAGCCGUCUGUCACGUGGUUUUCGUUCAUUUUGGCCGUUUCUCGUUGCGUCUUUGCGGAUUCUUUGUCAUUGCGUCCUUGACGUGCGCAUGAGUGCGGUUAUCAAGAGCAACAGUUAGCUAACACGUCACAGGCUCUUCGUCGUCAGAGCCUGCCGGAGAUGGAUGUCAAGUGUCAUGUGAAACUGACGUAUGGGUGUCCUCGGUGCCCUUUCCCAUGCAUAUUUAUAAAUUACGUGAUGCACUUGUUUAGUCUGGUCGGUUUAUCCACAGAAUAGGUUGGAGCUCACCGCCAAAUUGUGCGUCGAAUACAAAGUGCGUUGUCAGGAAAGUUUCGCUGCAUGAAUACUUACCAGCCACGAAGAGAACCUGAACUGUCACGUGCCAGCGGCGACUGGCAAUUUCCAGUGACGCCUGAGAAGUUGCCAUCGACUGCCAGGAAACUUUUUAGACAAUGUAAUGUAUAGGAAUCGUCUCAUGCGUGAGAUCUGCACCCAU